rnacentral:tRNA from 1 species
AAAGGGAGACCUAAUUCCGGUAGGAGACGAAAAAAAAGUAGUCCCUACCAAGAAUCAAUCCCAAAAGGUCGAAGCGAGGCAAGAUUGGCUUUCAAACUAGGUUCUGGGUUCAAACAAGACCUGAAUCAGGAACAAGGGCUAUUAGCUCAGGUGGUUAGAGCGCACCCCUGAUAAGGGUGAGGUCCCUGGUUCGAGUCCAGGAUGGCCCACCUGCACAGGUGGCAAAAACAAAGAAGCGAGGAAUCAGCACCUUAUCUUACUCAUAUAGUAAGAGAGAAUGCUGGCUCUGAGUAAAGAGUCCAGAGGAACCUUGAAAACUGCAUAGAGCUAGGUGAAAAAGCCAAAAAAGAAGACCGCAAG